CUCAAUCACAAACCCGUUAAGACCUUCACUCAUCUUCAGAGCGCAAAUUAAGAUAUUUUUGGUGAAAUCUGAGAGCUCUUUGGCCCUGAACAGACAGCAACACAAUUGAAAUGUUAAACGGUCCGCGUGACAUCAGUGGCGAAGCAACGAAAAUACUUUUGAUGCUCGAAGAAAACAAAAAUGUAUGCAUCUCCGAGUUUCGCCAUUUUGGAUCAAGCGCAACUUAAUCAACGUAAUGAGCGUUGUUUAUGUUCCGGGGAACGCGCGCGCGAAUCUCGGUGCUCUCCAAACGUUUCUGGAGGACGUUUCAGUUGUGUUGCGGGGUCAGAGAGCUCUCAGAUGUCAUCAAAAAUAUCUUAACGCGUGUCUUGCCGGUACGGGACUCGAUUAGGUACUGAUUGUUCAGGUCUUUUGGGACUCUCGGUCUGGGUACAAAAUAUUCUCAAUGAAGCCCGUGGCAGACACUUUUGGCCCGUCCCUCCUGUAAUGACUGCUGUUUCCGGAUGCUUAGUAACACACAGUCUCCAGGGUCUCCUCUCGCCGUCUCAGGAGAUUAAUGAUCUCCUCGUGUGUCCUGUGGACUCUCUUCUGUCCAGCUUCCCUCCUACUUGUGUGAUUCUCAGGCUCUGUACGUCAGCACAGUGAUCAUCCGCUUCUCCAUGAGAGCCAUCUGCUCACACACAUGGAGCCGCCGCUUUACCCAUCACACCCAAACACAGUCUCUUGAGUCCCAUG